UACGUAGGGUGCAAGCGUUGUCCGGAAUUAUUGGGCGUAAAGAGCUCGUAGGCGGUUUGUUGCGUCGGCUGUCGAAAUCCCGGAGGCUCAACCUCGGGUCUGCAGUCGAUACGAGCAAACUAGAGUGUUGCAGGGGAGACUGGAAUUCCUGGUGUAGCGGUGAAAUGCGCAGAUAUCAGGAGGAACACCGGUGGCGAAGGCGGGUCUCUGGGCAACAACUGACGCUGAGGAGCGAAAGCGUGGGGAGCAAACAGG
rnacentral:rRNA from 1 species